GAUUUUCACAUUUCUUUAUUUAGUUAACUAUUAAAUAAGUAAAACAUUACAUUACAUUUAACCCAGCUUCUUUAUGUAACGUUAUGUCUGUGUUGCGUGUGGUAAUUGGAACAUCUUUAUUUUCUGACUAACGGUAGGCAUUUCUCUUAAGCAUUUCAGAAAUCAUUAAAACCUUUCUUUUUUUUAGCACAGCGACAUAAAUAUGACCAACCAGAUCCCAAGUAGACAGGAACAAAUGAAGAUAUAGCGCAUAGAAAGACUUAUUCUUGGUGAUCAACUGCUAUUGACAUUUUUGAAUCGGGGCAAAUGUGGAGUGAAGAAAAACGUUUGCAACACAUCCAUUCCAGAGUGCUCUGACAGAUAAAACUGACACGCUUGAUGAGGACACAGUCAAAGCUUUAAAAGCCCGUGUGAUAAAGCAGUCUUCAAUUACUACGGUGUCUGAAUUGCAAGAAGAAGUCACCCUCCACUUAAACAUGUGACAUCUAAACUGUUUUGUGUUUUAGUUCAGCUUUUUAUAGGUUUAUCUUAAGUUGGUUAAAGGCAGAGUGCACUAUUUUUGAAAGCCAAUGUUAACAUUUGAAAUUACCUAAACAAACAUGCCUCUACCCCAAUAGAAUCGGGACCUUCUUUUGAUAGAGCCACCACACACAUACGCAACCCCGGCAAGGAUGUCAGUUAGUAGACACGCCCCUUACUGCUGGUUGGCUACAAAGUGUGUUUUAGUAGUCGGCCCAAUUUCCUUUUACAAAGCGUUUUUCAAACAUUGUGCACUCCGUCUUUAAAUUGCACUUAAACAUUUUUUUCAUUAACUUUUUAUGCAGAGAAUUACAUUAUGAUUAUUAUAUAAUCAUUGCUUAUGAAUAUUUAGUG